GCCAACCAUCUGUCCAGGAACAGACACACUCGCCUGCCAUUGUUACACACUCGCCUGCCUUGGUACAAAGUCAGUAGCGCAGGAGAAUGUUCACGCGCCAAACUCUGCUAGAAAAAGGACAGCAACAAAGUUGCCGUCUCAUCAGAGAAGACAGUUGCAGCCACGACACCUGCACUUAACCCUCUGAACACUCCCAUGUGCACACCAAUCAGUGACGCGCCAUCCGCGCUUUCUACCCACCAAGGACUGCCAGAGGACCCUGGAGGCGUCUCGCCAAACAUAUUAGCCAUGGGCAAGACAGCGGCCCAUACGGCAAGACCACUCCGGGCCCGAGCACCUGCACGAUCCGUUGUCCGCUCGCCCUUUAAGGGGCUGCAGACGCAGGGUCCCACCAACCGUGCUGCCACACAGCAUCCGGAGCUUGGCUGGCUAGGGGAUCCGGCGGCAACCGGAACCCCUUCCAGGGAUCCCCGUUGCUCGCAACGGGGAUCGCUGGGAAGCGCACCAGCCCGACGUCUAAAACACCCCCUACCAGGACGUCACGGGCAUAACUUCUCACUUGUGACCUUUCGCGUUUCUAAAUCGAGAAAGCUAUAGGCAUUUGAUCAAGUAUAUCCAUUUGUUUCACAACGGGCCCGUACUCGCCGAGAUCAGCAAUCGCGACCACGCUGCGCCGAGCUCGCUGCCCCCGCUCGCCCGCAGCAUCUCGGCGAGUACGGGCCCGCUGUGAAACAAAUGGAUAUUCUUGAUCAAAUGCAUAUAGCUUUCUCGACUUAGAAACGCGAAAGGUCCUGACAGGCAAUGCCGAAGCAAUUGCCACUGACCAACGAACCAUCAGCAGCCACCACAAUCAUGAAAGGCAUGUUGGCAGCCUCUAGAAUGCUCAUUGCUCUGGGCUUGCCUUGCCUGUCCUCAGCUUCCGCCAUCGUCCGUAGCAACGCGCCUCAGCAUAUACAUUUGUGAUUUCUGCAACGGCAUGCAGCAAUUCAGUCGGUCGGAGGGCAAUUUAGUCGGAGAACAUGAACAGAAUCCGAAGGUUGCUGGAUCAAUCCCCAGAUACACACUUCCCAGCAUAUGUACUCUUCUGCCAGCAAGCCGCCCAGGGAUGGUCCGGCGGCAGCGUUUCUGGCAACUUCACCGGCUUCGCCGGUUCCUCUUGGCGGACGGUCGACCAGUAUAGCGCCGCAAGUCCUUUCGCGCGCUCCUCAGCCGACUUAAUUGGUCGUUGGUCUGCGGGGUGCGGGUUUUGCAGCAUGUUCGCUGAAGGGGGUAAAAAAAGAUGAAGACUGCUUGGCUGGCUAUUUCGUGUGUGCUUCUCAAUAGAACAUGGAUAUUAAACAAAGAGAUUAACGAGUUGCGUCGCACGAAGAUGCCAGUGCUCUAUCGCAAUGGUGCUCGCGAUGGGUCGAGACUACGCACCUGCUUUCAAGUGAAAGGGAUUCACUAGAUCACUAAGGGCACGUGUGCAGGCUGGCGUGACACGCACAGCGGGAGAUAGGGUUUUCGGCAAGCCGGGUACAGCAGCUGCACACACGCCACGGCAGCUCCAGCUAUCCGGAUCCGGUGCGGCCCCUACCUGCAAGCGCCUCAAAGUACAUGUGCCACGACACACCCUAAUCCCCAUCCCAACGACCUGGUCUCUCCGGCUGGCGGUUUCUAGGUAGCGGUCCGCGG
rnacentral:lncRNA from 1 species